AUUUCAGAGUCGAAGCUCAUGGUUCAAUCAUUGAUGUCAGCUUGGCUGCUUACUUCAUUGUAAAUGCCUUUCACUGUUCGAUUAUUUUUUCUGAAGAUGCCUGCAAGUGAGAUAGAUGGUGAAGGAAUCAGAGCUGAUCUCGAGGUCUCUGAUGCCACUGUUGUUGCAAUAUAUGUUUGGUUCUCAAAAUUCAAUCCCUGAUGAGCUUCGGAAAUUGGUCGAGGUCGAGGUCGAGACAGGAAUGAUUGAUGGUGAAAUGGAUGCCAUUUCUUCUUGCAGCCUGUUCUCAAAGUUCUUGUUUGCAAAUGAUAGAUAUGGAGUAUUUUGAUUGACAAGAGAUAAUGACAUUUCUUGACAAUUCUAGAACAGUCCAUCUGAGUUCUUUUGUCAAGCUGCAUCAUUUAACCCCAGCACAAGUCCAGUUUCUGCUAAGCAAUCACUCAUGGCUGAGCAAUCACUCGUGACAAAAUUGCAGCUUCAUUGCGUCAAAUACCCAAAUUUGUGUCCAGCAUGUUCCUCGUAUUUCUAAUGUGGCUGAACACUGAAUUGCACGGUUUAGCCUCCGUGAAAGGGGCUUAUUGUUUUGUCUUUUUUUCUCCUCAUUUUCCAUGCUUAACUGGGAAAUAGAUUGUUAACAUACAUAGCUCAAUUUGUUCCAUUGGAUGCCUAAGUUGAUGCAG